rnacentral:lncRNA from 1 species
UACCACGACACAAGUCAUGCUUCCUCCAAUAGCUGUCAUGAUCCCCAUGGCCUAAAACAUUUUUUGAGUUCCCAACAGAAUAGCUAUAAGCAACAAAUACUUGAAGCGCGGAAGGAAAUAUUUUCUUUCAAGCUGCGCAAAAUAUAACUGAUAUCAACAUGCAUCAUCAGGAAGUUACGAGAGCAAAGCAGGAAUAACCAAAAACAGAAGCAAACGAUGCCCAAAUCAACAACCAUGGGAGGGAGUCGGAAUGGGAGCUCCCAUGACUCACCUUUUAACCAACCAUUCCGUCCUCACCAAAUGCAAGUC